rnacentral:tmRNA from 1 species
GGGUUAGUAAAGGUUUCGACAGGGACCCGGAAGGUGGAGAAGCUAUCCGACGCCGAUCGUCAAACGGCAAAAUUAAAAAUAAACGCUAACAACAACAAAUUAGCGCUCGCGGCUUAAUCCGCGAUGCCGCCGGAGGGACACCCGCAUCCUUCCGAUACGGUAUCAUGAAAGCGGGAAACGACAUGGCUUAAGCUUUGCGGCUAUGGGCGUAUCAUGAAGCUACUGAUCAUCCGGCGGCUGUCUGCCUCCGCGGGUGAAAGGGAACGCGGCUUUGACCGGCCUGACAGACUAUGAUAGUAGAAGGACAUUGGAAGGAUCUUUGGACGCGGGUUCGAUUCCCGCCUAAUCCAUCG